rnacentral:rRNA from 1 species
UACGAGGGGAGCAAGCGUUGUUCGGAUUUACUGGGCGUAAAGGGCGCGUAGGCGGCGUGACAAGUCACUUGUGAAAUCUCCGGGCUUAACUCGGAACGGUCAAGUGAUACUGUCGUGCUAGAGUACAGAAGGGGCAACUGGAAUUCUCGGUGUAGCGGUGAAAUGCGUAGAGAUCGGAAAGAACACCAACGGCGAAAGCACUCUGCUGGGCCGACACUGACACUGAGAGACGAAAGCUAGGGGAGCGAAUGGG